rnacentral:sRNA from 1 species
UUCGUAACGACGACCACCCUUACGAGAC